UCUACUCUUACCCCAACCCCAAAAGGUGCCAUCUGACUGGGAGAGAGUGUCCUUCCAACAGACCAGCCAGGCAAGCCCUGAUUUGAAGACAAGUCCCCAGAAUGGUGCCUCGUUUCCUUCUUCUGGGGGAUAUGGCCAAGGGUCCCUGAUAGCAGAUGAGGAGUCCCAGGAGUUUGAUGACCUGAUAUUUGCAUUAAAAACUGGUAUGUAUGAGACCUACACAUGACAUUAGAAGCGGCCAUUCUGCGGGAAUACUUUAUGUCCCCUUCUAUGAAGGUGCAGAAGCACUGUCACCCUUGGUACAGUUCCCUUCCCAUGACCCAGUUCUGAUCCCAGUCAAACCCAAGGAUAUCUUAUUCUUUGCAUAAAAUAUAACACAGCCUAAAAAUAAUUUAUAAUUUGCUUUUAAGGAAGAAAACAACAU
rnacentral:lncRNA from 1 species